UCAAAACAAUUACAUUUAUAGUGUUUUAUUUAGUGCUUGAUGAAUGCAAGUCUAUAAAAAAAUAAUUCAAGCCAGCCCCCUUCUUUGUCCUGGAUGAAAUUGAUGCUGCCUUGGAUAACACCAACAUUGGCAAGCAAGGGGACUGUGUGAUCAGCAAAGUCCUGACCUUCGACCUCACCAAGUACCCAGAUGCCAACCCAAACCCCAAUGAACAAUAGGAAGAAUUCUGCCCUCUUGUCUGGAUCCUGGAACUGCCCUUCUGUCGAUCUCCUGGAUCUCUCUCAUCACCCAUUAUCAUGUAUUCUCUGGAAAUUAUGCCCCCCCUUAUGUGUAUCAUUGCCUAUAUGCAUAUGGAUUUGUUUGCAAAAUAAAUAUUGGACGCCUGUUUUAAAGGA